AUUGAACGCUGGCGGCAGGCCUAACACAUGCAAGUCGAACGAGAUCUUCGGGUCUAGUGGCGCACGGGUGCGUAACGCGUGGGAAUCUGCCCUUUGGUUCGGAAUAACAGUUGGAAACGACUGCUAAUACCGGAUGAUGACGAAAGUCCAAAGAUUUAUCGCCAGAGGAUGAGCCCGCGUAGGAUUAGCUAGUUGGUGUGGUAAAGGCGCACCAAGGCGACGAUCCUUAGCUGGUCUGAGAGGAUGAUCAGCCACACUGGGACUGAGACACGGCCCAGACUCCUACGGGAGGCAGCAGUGGGGAAUAUUGGACAAUGGGCGAAAGCCUGAUCCAGCAAUGCCGCGUGAGUGAUGAAGGCCUUAGGGUUGUAAAGCUCUUUUACCCGGGAUGAUAAUGACAGUACCGGGAGAAUAAGCUCCGGCUAACUCCGUGCCAGCCGCCGCCGUAAGAC
rnacentral:rRNA from 1 species